UCCGGGAUGCUAAGGCUGAGAACUGAUGACGAGUGUUCCUCGGAACAUGAAGUGCUUGAUGCCAUGCUUCCAAGAAAAGCCUCUAAGCUUCAGGUAAAAAGAGACCGUACUCCAAACCGACACAGGUGAUCAGGUAGAGAAUACCAAGGCGCUUGAGAGAACUCGGGUGAAGGAACUAGGCAAAAUGGCACCGUAACUUCGGGAGAAGGUGCACCGCUUUUGGUGAUGGGAUUUACUCCCUAAGCUGAGGGCGGUCGAAGAUACCAGGCCCCUGCAACUGUUUAUUAAAAACACAGCACUCUGCAAACACGUAAGUGGACGUAUAGGGUGUGACGCCUGCCCGGUGCCGGAAGGUUAAUUGAUGGGGUUAGCGCAAGCGAAGCUCUUGAUCGAAGCCCCGGUAAACGGCGGCCGUAACUAUAACGGUCCUAAGGUAGCGAAAUUCCUUGUCGGGUAAGUUCCGACCUGCACGAAUGGCGUAAUGAUGGGGGCGCUGUCUCCACCCGAGACUCAGUGAAAUUGAAAUCGCGGUUAAGAUGCCGUGUUCCCGCGGCUAGACGGAAAGACCCCGUGAACCUUUACUAUAGCUUUGCACUGAACUUUGAACCUAUCUGUGUAGGAUAGGUGGGAGGCUUUGAAGUUGGGACGCUAGUCCUAAUGGAGCCGUCCUUGAAAUACCACCCUGGUAUGUUUGAGGUUCUAACGUAGACCCCUAAUCGGGGUUGCGGACAGUGUAUGGUGGGUAGUUUGACUGGGGCGGUCUCCUCCCAAAGAGUAACGGAGGAGCACGAAGGUGUGCUAAUCAUGGUCGGAAAUCAUAAGGUUAGUGUAAAGGCAAAAGCACGCUUGACUGCGAGACAGACAUGUCGAGCAGGUACGAAAGUAGGUCUUAGUGAUCCGGUGGUUCUGUAUGGAAGGGCCAUCGCUCAACGGAUAAAAGGUACUCCGGGGAUAACAGGCUGAUACCGCCCAAGAGUUCACAUCGACGGCGGUGUUUGGCACCUCGAUGUCGGCUCAUCACAUCCUGGGGCUGAAGCCGGUCCCAAGGGUAUGGCUGUUCGCCAUUUAAAGUGGUACGCGAGCUGGGUUUAGAACGUCGUGAGACAGUUCGGUCCCUAUCUGCCGUGGGCGUUGGAGAUUUGAGAAGAGUUGUUCCUAGUACGAGAGGACCGGAGUGAACGAACCUCUGGUGUUCGGGUUGUCAUGCCAAUGGCACUGCCCGGUAGCUAUGUUCGUACGGGAUAACCGCUGAAAGCAUCUAAGCGGGAAGCCUCCUUCAAGAUGAGAUCUCCCUGGGACUUUAAGUCCCCUAAAGAGCCGUUGAAGACUACGACGUUGAUAGGUUGGGUGUGGAAGCGCAGCGAUGCGUUGAGCUAACCAAUACUAAUUGCUCGUGCGGCUUGACC
rnacentral:rRNA from 1 species